rnacentral:rRNA from 1 species
AUUGAACGCUGGCGGCAGGCCUAACACAUGCAAGUCGAACGGUAACAGGGAUCAGCUUGCUGAUUCGCUGACGAGUGGCGGACGGGUGAGUAAUGUCUGGGAAACUGCCUGAUGGAGGGGGAUAACUACUGGAAACGGUAGCUAAUACCGCAUAACGUCGCAAGACCAAAGAGGGGGACCUUCGGGCCUCUUGCCAUCGGAUGUGCCCAGAUGGGAUUAGCUAGUAGGUGGGGUAACGGCUCACCUAGGCCACGAUCCCUAGCUGGUCUGAGAGGAUGACCAGCCACACUGGAACUGAGACACGGUCCAGACUCCUACGGGAGGCAGCAGUGGGGAAUAUUGCACAAUGGGCGCAAGCCUGAUGCAGCCAUGCCGCGUGUAUGAAGAAGGCCUUCGGGUUGUAAAGUACUUUCAGCGGGGAGGAAGGGAGUAAAGUUAAUACCUUUGCUCAUUGACGUUACCCGCAGAAGAAGCACCGGCUAACUCCGUG